GGACCAUUGGCGCAACGGUAGCGCGUCUGAUUCCAGCUUCUGCGGAGUCUCCAGAAGGUUAGCCGUUCGAAUCGGCUAUGGUUCA